CUCUUCAAUCAGAUUCAACUGGUCAUAACGACUCUGAAUCCAUUCAGCAUCAGUCAACUAGGGACUUGAGGGUAUACUUUUUCUUUUUUCUUUUGAAAAAAUUUUGAAUUUUUUUUUCCUGAUUUUUGAUUUUUUCAUCUUUUUCACCCUCUCUUUUUUUUUAUUGCAUUUGUAAUGCCCCAGUUUGACUGUUGCUGGGUUCUUGAGACGCAGCUGAACGAUCUGCUUUUCAUUGCUCAAGUGC
rnacentral:lncRNA from 1 species